UUCUAGGAAGAAAAAUUAUACACUGAAAAAUUAAAACGUAAGACACAUCUUUCGCAAGUCAUGCGUCUUUCCAUCGUUUUCCCAUGUAACGUUUAAUAGGGCAAAGCCCGACUCUGAUUCGUUACUCAGUGGUCUGUGACAACCAAUCAGCGAGCUUCAGCCUAAUUUGAAUAAUAAGGAAGCGUACUGUUAUAAGUGAUGCAGGAUUUGGGAAAACAUAUCAUGUUAAAAACUCUCAUAAAUUAGAGAAGAUUAUUUGUGGGGGAACCCAUCAGUAACAGGAAUUAUUUUCAGUGAGUCACCAAUAGGAUUCGACUCUUUUGGCUCCUUUAAGUAUUUUUGUCUAAAAGCUGGGUAAAAUCGCUUAUCUUUGCCUAUUUGAUGCUUAAAUUGUUUAAUGAAAUCUUGUGCAUUGUCAUUAACAGUAUAUCAUUAUACUUUGCAUUGUGUUCGUUGUAAAAAAAAAAAAAAAAAAAAAAAAAAAAAAGAUCGAUUUCACCUAAUGAAAAACCACCCAUCGUGCUAUUAUAUUGACAUAGAGAGUAAAAAAAAAUGUUCAGUAUUAUUAUAUCAUCGUUCCUGCUACAUACAUUUCCACCGCUCAACACAAAACGUUCAAAUAUUAACCGCAAUGCAAAUGUGAAAGCUAUUCAUUAUAGGUCUGAAGACAUUCGAGUGGACUCCCAACGCUCAUCUCCAAGAGCCGACUCAUUGAGUCGACUCAUUCAGGAAUUCGACUCAUCGGUGAGAAAGAAACACAAAAAACCGUUUUCCUGAUGAAGCCGUUUCAACCAGCUUCAUGAUGCGGAUUCACCCAGGAGGCUUUUCUUCAAGUUCCCAGUUGAAGUCGUCAGGAUUGCCUGAGGUGGGACACAUGGGAUUCAAACGCGAGUGCUCUUACGCAUGCAAGGCCAUUACCUGGAGCUCCCAGCGCUACAGCUGAAAGAACAGGAAUCAAACACAUGCUACUUCACCGUGCAGCUCAGAGAGGCAAGGUCAACCCUUCGAUCAAACAAAGCUCUCAAAAGUGACUUCUAUUACAUUAGGUCGGCCCUGAAGGGAAGAGGGGAGGAGAGAGCGACUCUGAAAUCUCAAUUAACACUCGGCUAAUUAACUUCACACGCCAUUUGAUACAGAACAAACUAAAGUAGGACAAUGACAAGACCAGGAACCCAGGAAUGAGAACGAGGUAUGUCGAAGGGUCUGGAGAAUGGAAACAAUAUGUAUGAAAGUAGGGAACGUAGCAUUUCAGUUAGAGCAUCCAAAAAUGUGCAAGGCAAACACACGGGCACAGAUGCUGACGUACGUGCUGGGAAAAAAUGUUAAGCGUAUCAACGCACACCAAGCUUUCAGCCCCAGUAAGCUGCCCAAUCCUUUUUCCCAUGGUUGCACUUAAAGUGGUAACCUCAGAUCACUGAGGAGACCUCAUUGUUUCGUAGCCGUUUGAGUUAAUCACUGAUUAACUGGGAAAACAGCUGAGGCUAAAAAAAGAGCAGCACUCCGUCCCUGCAUUUCCGCCAGGCUCUGAUACUGAAACACACAGGCCUAACGAUCAACAGACAAGGCUACAACUGGUAGCUUUGCUUUAAGAUAAGACUGAUGCUAGACAGGAUUUGUUUAAGCUAUCAGUCUGAACUACUGAUAUAAUAUAUAUUGUUGGAUGUGGUCAUGUAGUUCACUGUGUGGAAAUUUUACUGAAACCCAGCAACCCUGGUUAAUGACAUUAUCUUUUCUGCAUGCGCCUCACACACCGUGACAGCGUUGUGGGUGUAUCAAACACCGUUGAACAAAGGUGUGUGUCUAAAGCCACUCAAAAGGAGCUGCUGGACUGUUUGCCAGAUGUUGCUGAGUCUCAACUGCCUAUUAUGGAGUUAGACUAAAAAUUCACUAGACAGUAGCCCAAGCCAAGUCAAGUGUGAUAGCCUCUCGACUUAAUUUUGUCCUGCCCCGUCAAAAUCUUUGGUCACAAGGCAUUUCACUAACGUUUUAUCGGAGCAUUUGGUCCCAAAAUCCGAGAUAUAACCGUCUUCGUCCAAGCUUUAUGGUUUUUUUGAAACUACAAUAAAAAGCAGUGUAACUGCGGUAAAAUGCAGGAAGUCAAAGCCAGACAAAAGUUUCUGCUACAUUUUGCUACCCUCUGUGCGUUUCUGUUGAGCGAUUGAUUCAGCAGCACUCCAUUAGUACCACAAAGGCUUGGCUGAGUGGUUAAAACGCUCCAGUUAAAUCAGGUGAGUAGGAGGUAAUCAUCCUCUUUAACAGAAUUACAACAGUUAAAACAUGGCAGCCUGAAACGCACGAUGUCAAUUUCAAGUGCGCGCCAGAUCGAAGGGUAUGUUUUAACAGGAAUACCUCACCGCUGCCACGCUUUCCCUGACGCCAAACGCAGUUAUGGAGCCCUGGUGAGGUUGCAAGGCCGUGAACCGACUCCCUCAGGAGAGUCACGCCCUCACGAAAUGUUCCCAAGCUUGCACAGAAUAAAAGCUCCUAUUAUUAAUAUUAAGAGACAUUAAUACUAACUGACAUGAAUCCAAAAGCAGGCAUCCAUGUGUGGAGGUGUCAGGUUAUAACAGAAGGGUGCCGGGAAUGUGAACCAGGAGCCUCGCGAACAUUGUUCUCGGCUAAUACAGGCAUAUAUCUGAUGAAACCAGUCCUGAAGUUGUGCAAUGCCAAAGAACCUGCCAGUGAAGUUCAUUUGAUCGGACGUGUCCGUGUCAGACAAAUGCACCCCGUUCACCUCAUCAGUGUCUCUCUCAUGGGAGGCUCUGCGAGAACAGAAUAACCGGAGGGGCCAGCGCUUAUUUAUCUGUGCUUGAAAAGUCAGGCACGGACGAGCCAGGCACUUUACACGAGUGUUACUUUCCAUUUGGCUCAGCACUGUGGGAAGAAAAAAAAAACUGCAGCCAUGCCUAAACAGCCUGACCGGAGGCAUAGCUCUUCCCACAGCGUUGUUCUCGUUACUACUCAUCCGCACGAUAAGAAGAGCUACAUGCCGCUCUCGGAGUUGCAAUCACCUCUGUAGUCGCUCUUGACCAUGAAAUGUCGCGUUUAGCGCCGUCACGAUACCAAAAUUCUUACAUACAAAGGAAGAUUAAUCGUGGAAGAAAAGUCUGCGACAGGAAACAAGUGAAACAUUUAAUAAUAGCCAACUGCAGUCUGAACGUCUGCUACCAUUAUGCCGUCCUCUUCUAAGAAAAGAAGAAAAAAAAAUACACAAUAAAGUACACGAUAACUGACCAUCUGAUUCAUCCUCACUGUAGAGUUUCCAGUCUGCACCGCCCUGAACUUGGCUGAAACUGAUCCGUGUGUCGCGUUCUUCACAUCCUACUUUCAUUUUUGUGUCUACUUCUACAUAUGGGUUUUCAAUCAUACGGAAACAAAACUACUUUUUUUUUUUUUUUUAACAAACGUACUUACUGUAUAGUACCUUCGGCAACCCUAAUUCUUCUAACGUAGUGUUGUUCUCGUGCAUCAGGCUAGCAGCGUGAUGACGACUGGCUUUCUAAAAGCAACUUGACUCUUCAAAUCAAAAGCGGAGCGCGUGCCUUACUCUGAAUGUUUCGUCCCGUCUACAAGUAAAGUCGUGGUAUACGGACGGCAGGCGAUGAGGCCAGGAGACGUUUCUUAAACGGCAAAUACAUCAUGAUAUUCAUGAGAUGACUGCGAUCAUAUUCGAGAGACUGAAUUGCAAGUCAGUUGCAUUUCCAUUAACUUGCCUGGGGCUAUAAAAAUGGCAAGCUUUCCACCGCCAGGGAAAGAGAACUUCAUUAUCGGGCGGAUACGUCGGUGUCCGAUCGCACGAGACGAGGUUUGAUUAAAGCGCUUU